rnacentral:misc_RNA from 1 species
UACAACUCUUGCCUCCGAAUUAUUUUAUGACUGACCAUAGUGUGGAAUAAAGGAAUUACAAAUAACAUAAGAAUAAUAAGGCAAAAAGGCAGAAAAACCCAACGUAAAAUAGCUUGAAAUUCCCUGUUCUCUCUAGCAAGCACCAGACUCCAAAAUAACACAGCCAGCGAUACCGUGUUUGCGUAAGUCAGAAUGCGUAACCAUAGCCAUUUGUAAAGGAUAGAAUUAUUGUUAGAUGUUGGGAACAGCACAACUAAUAUGGGACAGAGAGAUAACAUAAAGGUUAAUCCGUCCACGGACACCAAGAGAGAAGGAAGUGAUGUUGGAUCAGCACCAUGUUGAUUGAGGAGUGUUGCAUUCCCGAGCUUCUGUAUGGCAGCAGUUGCGUUGGAACUAAUCGAAGUUACAUUCCCAACUGGGGCCGAG